AUUGCAUGCCGAACCUGGAGGCCUGGCCCAACUGCAUGCCGAACCUCAAUUCUCUUCGUAUCUUCGAUUGUCCAAGCAUCAUAUACUUUCCAGAAGAGGGUUACCCCACCAGUCUAACAUCACUCUUAUUUGGUGGGGAGAAUAUCUGUAAGCAAGUAACUGUGUGGGGAUUGCACAGACUAACCUCUCUUACAUCACUCCGGAUUGAUGGUGGGAUUCCAGAUUGGCAGUCGUUUCCAGAUGAGCAAGAUGGGAAGCUGACGAUGACGCUUCCUUCCUCUCUUACCCACCUAUCGAUUUGGAGCAUUCCAAAUAUUGUAAUCCUAUCUUCUUUGGGCUUUCAAAAUCUCUCUGCUCUUGAACAUUUGUACAUCGAAAAUUGCCCUAAACUCGCAUCCCUCCCAGAGAAGGGCCUACCUCCCUCGCUUCUGCGACUUUAUAUUCGACAUUGUCCAUUGCUGAAACAACACUGCAAGAAAGGCGGGCGAGAGUGGUCCAAGAUAGCCAACGUCCCUUGCGUUGAGAUUGAUUGAGAGUGGUCUGUCUAUGAGUUGGAGGAGGAGCAGCAAUAAAAAAAAUUGUAAAACAAAGAGCAAUAUUUGCUCAUAAUAGUUACUCCUUCCUUCCAGUGUUGCAGCAGAGACUAGCUUCUGAACCGCUAAACGUUAUAUUGGAAUUUCAAAACACGGAGGUUAUCAGUAAAUGUUCAGAGAAUGGCAGGAUGCCCUUUUAGUACUAUGCUUGUGCAGAAUGUUGUUUUAAACAUUUGUCGUGCCUUGCAUAGAUUGAUCAAAGCAUUGUCACCUAUGUUGCAAAUGGCAGAGACUAGCUUUGGAACUGAUAAACCUUCUAUUGGAAUUUCAAAACGUGGAGGCUACAUAUUGUGUUCUAUGACAUGAUGAUCAGCAGAUGUGCACAAAAUGUCAUUUCAAAACAAAUAUUGUGCCUUGCAUAGAUUGAUCAAAGCAUUGUCACCUGCGCUGCAGAUGGCAGCAGCCACUCUUUGGGCUAUUUGGAAAUGCAGUAUUAUAGAGCCAAGCUCUUAAUUACUGCUACUCAAGGGAAGACUAUUGAUGCUACUCAAGCUCUUAAUUACUGCAAGCACAAGAUCAUGAUCUGUCAAGAAGCAAUGGCUGGGACUCAUUCCCUAAAUGUUGCUUUAAACCUCCUAUCUAUAAUUGCAAAUGAUUUGUUGAAUCUAAGAUCAAAUUGGGAACCAAAUUUCAGAUCUUAGUAGAAGUUAGUACAAAAAGGGAGAGUUGCUUGCCAGGUGCAAGCUUUGUUUGCAAAGAUCAAAUGAGGAACCAAAUUGUGGUACACUGUUAUAGUUGGUUGGCUAAAAAGAAAUCCAUAGUACUUUCUCAGAUAAUUCAUGAAAGCUCAACCCAUGCACUUAUUAAAGGUGUGGUAGCUGCAGUUGUACCUACUAGUAGCUCUGAGGUUUGCAGCCUUUGUUGUGCAAUGAAAAACACCAGGUUCGGAGAUUAAGCAGUUAAGGAAGACAUUGCUGAGCAGCGUUCAUGAUUUUCUAAACUCUGGGUUGAUCAAAUCCCAGGCAAAUCCUCACUAAUGCUUGUUAGCUGGCCAAUUCUACAGCUUCCUCUUUUAUGCGGCCUGGUCCUCUUCUUGACCAGAAUUUAAGGCUUUCUCUCUGACUUAGCAUCCAUGUUGAAGAGAAAAUGAAUUUCUUGAUGUGGUGAAUCUUGUUUGAUUUGCUGAAUACCACUAAUAGAUGAUAUUGCAGAUUGUACCAGAAACCACCCUACCAGCAAAGUUGCAGAAUCAAUCAGAACCUUCUUAGACCAAUGUAAUUUAUUGGUUCUCCAAUGACUAAGAAGAAGAGCUGGUUCAACAUAGUGAAGAGGUUCUUUAUAAGAGAGACAAACUCAAAACAAGAAAUGGAUAGGAGAAGGAAAUGGAUUUUUGGAGGGCUUAAGAUCAAAAUGUUAGCCCCGCUCACUUCACCAUCAUCAUUAAAUGAAAGAAAUCUAGCUGAGGCUGAGGAAGAGCAGAUCAAGCAUGCUCUUGCUGUGGCCCAUUCCAUCACUGCUGCUGCUGAAGCAGCUGUUACGACUACUCUAGUUGCUGCUGCGGUUGUCCAGUUUGCCUGCCCCCUCAAUAUAACCAUCAAUGUGUAAAUGAAGUGGAAGAGUUCUUAGUCAUUAGAGUUCAAGGUGAAGCCCCUCAGUCCAACCAUCAUUGUGUGAGAGAAAUCCUUGAAUUUGCUGCCACUAGAAUUCAGUCUGCCUUUCAGGUUUACCUUAUGAGUUUAAAGAAGGCAAGGAAAACUUUGUGGACUUAGAAGGGAAUUGUGAGGCAGAGCUGUAUGAUGCCAAACUAUAACUGCCCUAAAGUUCUUCCAGUCCACUUUAAUUAUUCAGUCACAAGGCUGCGCAAGAAUAUUUGGAAUGGUGGAAGGCACUUAGAAUUAUGAUGGAAGUGAACAAUCGCAGAAUUGGAAAGACAAGAUAACAAGGAUAGACACAAGGAAUCAAAGAAGGUGGGAUGACAGUGUUUUGUCAAAGGAAGAGUUAGUUGCAUUGUUUAUGAGUAGGAAAGAGACCAUGCUUAAGAGAGAAUGGAUAAAGGAGUAGUGGUUUAUCCAUCUGUAGUCAGCAGAUAUGGAUCAAAACUUAGUAAGUGGAAGAUGAAGGCAUUGGUUGGAUCAAUGGGUAGAUACACAAAUUACCCUAAGUAGAGAACUUGAAGAUUUGGACUCAGCUUUGACUUCAAAUCGAAGACAAAGAGAGGACUAUGAAAGAAGGCAACUUAAGCUAAGAAAUGUUGAGGGACAGAGUAAGUUGGAAGGAUUGAAUUCUCCAACAUUUGUUCCCAGAGUAUUAAUUCAUUAUUGGAGACCAUGCUCAUUGGGAGAUCAUAAUUCUUUGUCAAGCUCUCCUGUUGUUCCAACUUACAUGAAUGCAACUGAAUUUGCAAAGGAAAAGUCAAGAUCAAUGAGCUCGUGAAAAAUAAGGCCCAUGAAUUUUGAUACAUGCUCUGAAAGCUCUUCACCAUAUAAGAAUAAACUCAUAUCCUUUAUUACUACUGAAGUGCCAAGUGGUGGUAGGAUUGGCAAGACUAGUGGUUUCUAGCAGAUCUCCAAGCUCAAAAGGCCUUCCAAGUCCUAUAAAAUCCAGUAGGAAGGUAAAGGAUCUCAGUUUUAACUCAAAGUGCUCAUUUCAGACUUUGGAUAGACAUGGCUUUAGAUAAUUUCAGAAGUUUGGUGCAAGAAGAGAACUUAGUUAGUGUGUCAGGUUGGAGUGGAGAACAUAGUCUGUAAUUUAAUCUAGUUUGAAUAGUUAAACAAUGGUGUGCUAUUUAAUCUCAUCAUCAAAUGAGUAGCUCACUGUAAUGCUGCAUUGUAAUUUAAUCUAGUUAGAACUCUACUCUCCCUCCCUCCAAAUUGGCCAUUAAAGUGUAGUGAGGUUUGGGUUGCAUGAGAGACUUUUUUUUCUUUGUUCAAUACCAAUGGAUAAGUGUGUUCAACUUUAACCCCCAACGUGCAAAAGAAAUAAAUAAAUCUAUUUUACAUCACCAAAA